rnacentral:rRNA from 1 species
AAUAGAUACCCGGGUAGUCCACGCCGUAAACGAUGGAUGCUAGCUGUACGAAGUAUCGACCCUUUGUGUAGCGAAGCUAACGCGUUAAGCAUCCCGCCUGUGGAGUACGGUCGCAAGACUAAAACAUAAAGGAAUUGACGGGGACCCGCACAAGCGGUGGAGCGUGUUGUUUAAUUCGAUGGUAAGCGAAGAACCUUACCAAGGUUUGACAUCCUACUAAGGUCUCCGAAAGGAGACUGUGCCUUCGGGCCGUAGUGACAGGUGAUGCAUGGCCGUCGUCAGCUCGUGUCGUGAGAUGUUUGGUUAAGUCCAUCAACGAGCGCAACCCUUAUAGUUAGUUGUAUUUUUCUAGCUAGACUGCCCUGGCAACAGGGAGGAAGGAGGGGAUGAUGUCAGGUCAGUAUUUCCCUUACACCUUGGGCUACAAACACGCUACAAUGGCCGGUACAAAGGGCAGCCAACCCGCGAGGGGGAGCAAAUCCCAUCAAAGCCGGUCUCAGUUCGGAUAGCAGGCUGAAACUCGCCUGCUUGAAGA